UCUCUGUCAAGGGCACAAAGCAAACUACAGAACUCUCCCCUGAUGUGUUCUCCCACUGGCCAGAAAGAAAGCCACAUCCACAAGUCACCUGUGAUACUUUUUUUGAAGAAAAAUAUUCAGAAAAGAUUUGAGAGAAUGCCAAUCAAGGUCACUGUGAAAAGCAACACAAAGAAACGCUGAUCACGUCUCACUUCUUGCCAAUAUUGCUCAGAAGAAAAAACGACCAGUGAAUUCUGUGUUUGAAAAAAGCAUCUCA
rnacentral:lncRNA from 1 species